rnacentral:rRNA from 1 species
GACGAACGCUGGCGGCGUGCCUAAUACAUGCAAGUCGAGCGGACUUUCAUUGGUGCUUGCACCUUUGAAAGUUAGCGGCGGACGGGUGAGUAACACGUGGGUAACCUACCCUGUAGAUUGGGAUAACUCCGGGAAACCGGGGCUAAUACCGAAUAACACUUUUGAACUCAUGUUCGAAAGUUAAAAGAUGGUUUCGGCUAUCACUACAGGAUGGGCCCGCGGCGCAUUAGCUAGUUGGUGAGGUAACGGCUCACCAAGGCAACGAUGCGUAGCCGACCUGAGAGGGUGAUCGGCCACACUGGGACUGAGACACGGCCCAGACUCCUACGGGAGGCAGCAGUAGGGAAUCUUCCACAAUGGACGAAAGUCUGAUGGAGCAACGCCGCGUGAGUGAAGAAGGAUUUCGGUUCGUAAAACUCUGUUGCAAGGGAAGAACAAGUAGCGUAGUAACUGGCGCUACCUUGACGGUACCUUGUUAGAAAGCCACGGCUAACUACGUGCCAGCAGCCGCCGUAA